rnacentral:Y_RNA from 1 species
GGCUGGUCCAAGUGCAGUGGUUUUUACAACUAAUUGCUCACAACCAGUUACAGAUUCCUUUGUUCCUUCUCCACUCCCACUACUUCCAUUGACUAGCCUUAA